AUUUGAAUGUGCCGCCAAAGAUUUUCCAAAUGAACCGUUGCCUAGGUUUCCAGUUAUUUAAAACAAUUGACGGCCGUUAAUUCUGUUCGAAAGUCCUUGAAAAAAGAAAAAAUUAAUUUUGUGCUGGAUAAGAGCCCAAAAUGGGAAUUAUCCAAAGUGUGAUUGAUUAUUUUUGGCCCAAGCCGGCCCCGGCCCCCAAUGGCGAGAGAAGGGGCGCUGGAGACUCCCCCUCUUUCACGCCGCGGCUGGACCCGAUUAAAGAGGAGGACGAGAGUUUGGCCAGCGACGAAGGAGAUGGGGGUCGGAGAACCCCCCCUUCAGGAGUACGCCGUAGAUUACGGAAGAGAAGACGCUAAAAGCGAAUUCAAUUGAAAUGUUUAAAUUAAAUAAUUAAAUCAACAAUGUAGUUCAGUACUUGUAUGUUAUCAGUUGAUAACUUUGU